rnacentral:rRNA from 1 species
CUUGGUUGAUCCUGCCAAGGAAGCACACUUAGGUCAUAGAUUAAGCCAUGCAAGUGUUAGUUCAGGUAACGAAACUGCGAAUAGCUCAUUAAUACGCUCAGAAUCUAUUUGGCGGCGACCAACAGGUCUUAAAUGGAUAGCAGCAGCAACUCUGGUGCUAAUACAUGCGAUUGUUUCUCCAGAUGUGAAUUAUGGAGGAAAAGUUGACCUCAUCAGAGGCACGCCAUUCGACUGAGUGACCUAUCAGCUUGUACUUAGGGUCUUUACCUAGGUAGGCUAUCACGGGUAACGGGCGGUUACCGUCGGACUGCCGGAGAAGGCGCCUGAGAGAUAGCGACUAUAUCCACGGGUAGCAGCAGGCGCGAAACUUUCCCACUCGAGACUUUCGGAGGAGGUAAUGACCAGUUCCAUUGGUGCCUUUUGGUACUGUGGAUAGGGGUACGGUUUUCCACCGUACCGAAACCUAGCAGAGGGCCAGUCUGGUGCCAGCAGCGGGUAAUUCCAGCUCUGCGAGUUUGCUCCCAUAUUGUUGCAGUUAAAACGCCCGUAGUCUAAUUGGCCAGCAAUGUCGUACUAUUUUUACGUUCACUGGAACAAUCAGACGCUUAAGUAUGCCACAUGAAUGACUCAGGCAGUAUGAAGUCUAUAUGUUUUUUCUUCCGAAAACAAGCUCAAUGAGAGCCAUCGGGUAGAUCUAUCUCUGACGAUGGUGGAAUACUUUGACUAUGAGAGAGAAGCUGAGCGAAGCGUCUAACUAGAGGUUUCUGUCGAUAAGGGCGAGAAGAUAGGAGUAUCCAACAGGAUUAGAAGACACCUGGAUCAGUUCUACCUUAAAAAGAUGACGCAGGAGCUUUGUCAUUUGUUAAUGGCAGAAUUUUGGAGAAUCAUGUUCUUGGCUACCUGGGGGGGAACUACGACCGCAAGGCUGAAACUGAAAGAAUUGACGAAGGGCACACCGGGUGGAGACCGAGUGUGCCUGGUAAUAUGAAUCAACACGGGGAAACUUACGAGGACCAGAUGUUUUUAUGACUGACAGGCUUUCGGGUCUUUCAGGGGAUAUGUUUUGUCUAUUUGCGUGUGGUGUUACCCUGGUCUGCGUUGAUUCACUAUACACGAGAAUUAUCGCACCAAAUAUUUUGCCGAAUCUUACUUAAAGUUUAUAUGUGACUCCUUGCGAUUUUAUCAUGGUGAAAAGGGGUAGCAAUAACAGGUCCGUGUGCCCUAAGCCGGCUCGCCGUGCUCAUGUUUGAUCAAUAGACUGCGAGCCUAGAGUGGCUACUCUUUAAUCUCUACGUAGUUGGAUUGACGUUUGUAAUCACGGUCGAACCAUAGGAUCCUUAAAUGGUCAACAACGACGUUGAAUGUCCUCUUUGUAACACGCCGUCGCUACCUACGAUUGGAUACUCAGGUGAAAUACCGGCUACAGACAAAAGUGAUUAAAUCACGUUCUAAGAAGAAGUCGAACAAGGUAAGGUGUGAACCUGCCGUUG